rnacentral:rRNA from 1 species
UAAUACGAAGGGGGCUAGCGUUGCUCGGAAUCACUGGGCGUAAAGCGUGCGCAGGCGGCUUCCUAAGUCAGAUGUGAAAUCCCCGGGCUCAACCUGGGAACUGCGUUUGAAACUGGGAGGCUAGAGUGCGGCAGAGGGGGGUGGAAUUCCACGUGUAGCAGUGAAAUGCGUAGAUAUGUGGAGGAACACCGAUGGCGAAGGCAGCCCCCUGGGCCAGCACUGACGCUCAUGCACGAAAGCGUGGGGAGCAAACAGGAUUAGAUACCCUGGUAGUCCACGCCCUAAACGAUGUCGACUAGUUGUUGGGGGAGUCUGUCCCUCAGUAACGUAGCUAACGCGUGAAGUCGACCGCCUGGGGAGUACGGUCGCAAGAUUA